UACGUAGGGGGCAAGCGUUGUCCGGAAUUAUUGGGCGUAAAGAGCGCGUAGGCGGUCCGAUAAGUCGGCUGUGAAAGUCAAGGGCUCAACCCUUGAAUGCCGGUUGAUACUGUCGGGCUAGAGUCCGGAAGAGGCGAGUGGAAUUCCCGGUGUAGCGGUGAAAUGCGCAGAUAUCGGGAGGAACACCAAUGGCGAAGGCAGCUCGCUGGGACGGUACUGACGCUGAGACGCGAAAGCGUGGGGAGCAAACAGG
rnacentral:rRNA from 1 species